GGCCACUCCCCGUGCCUGCCUUGGCGCGCGGCGCGGGGCGAUGACGCCACUUCCGGCCUUUCGAACCGCCAUGGCGGGAGCGGGUGGCGGGCGGCGCUCGGCGGGGGCGACCCCGACGGGGACUCGGGGCAGCUCCCUGCGCUCGGCGGUCUCGGAACCGCGGGGGGGCCGGAACCCCCGGAACCGCAGCCCCGACUUUGAGCGACCCCGACGGAGCCCCCGGGUGAGUUGGGGGAGGGGCGAGGGGGUGGUGAGGGGGGGUCCUGGUGAUCCCGGGACCCCUCCCCACACUGACCCCCCAUCCCCCCCGCCCCUCCUCCACAGCUGCAGAGCCAGAAGGAGAACGGCCCCUCCCCCUCCUGUGCCCCCUCCCCCUCCUGUGCUGCCCCCCCUGCCCCCCCCACCUCCCCCUCCCUCCCCCCCCCCGUGUCCGUCGCUCCUACAGCCGCCUGGAGGGGGGGGCCGGGGGGCUCAGCCCGCGGGGGGGGCUCCCCCUGAGCCCCCUCCCCCUCAAUGUGCCCCUCCCCCGAGCCCCUCCCCCUGCCACCCCCCAGAUCCCCCCCUCGGCCUCCCUGGCAUCGGCCCCGCCCCCCCCGAGCGCAGGAGGAAGAGGAAGGUGACGCCCAUUGACGUGUCGGAGCUCGAGGCCUGGGCCGCCUCCAUGAACGCGCUGUUCGAGGAGGCCGAGCGCUUCCACCUGGUCGUGGAGUGACCAGAGAGACCCCCAGAGACCCCCGGGAGAGCCCCCCAAGACACCUGGGGACCCUCAGAGACCCUCAGGAAACCCCAAGGGACACCUGGAGACCCCCAAGAGCUCAGGAGAAACCUGGGGACCCUCAUGGGACCCCCGGACCCCCCAUAAUGUGUGGGACACCCCCCGAUUUUUGGGACCCCACCCCCGUUUUUUCCUCAAUAAACUCGGUUUCUGCCGCGGCCUCGCUGUGCAAUGACGCAGUUUGUGGCGUCACACACCCGCAGAAUUGGGUCACUGUCUCUUUAAGAGCGGGGGCGUGGCCUUGCAGCCAAUCACCGUGCGGCGCGAUGACAUCACCCGCCGAAGGGGCGUGGUUCCUGCCAAGCCACGCCCCCGGGGCGCCCAGGUCCCCCCAAAAAACUUCCCCGGCUCCCCCCGGCCAUGGAGCCCCCCCGAGCGGCGCCCCCUCCCCCCGAGAUGGAAUUUGGGGGGCCCUGGGGUGAGGGGGGGCGGGGGGGGCGCGGCCGGGGCCCUUUUGGGGAGGGGGGGGGGGGGGGGGGAGGGGCGUCCUGAGCCCUGGGUCCCCUUUUGGGGGGGCGGGGUCUCUUUUUGGGUCUGGGGUCCCUUGGGGAGGGGUGGGGAGUGAUCCCUGUCCUGUUUUUGGGUCUGGGGUCUCACCUCGGGGUCCCCGGGUCCCUUUUUUGGGUCUGGGGUCUCACCUGGGGGUUGGGGUCCCCGUUUUGGGUCUCGGUCUCCAUUUUGGGUCUGGGGUCCGCAAUUUGGGUCUGGGGUCCGCAAUUUGGAUCUGGGGUCCGCAAUUUGGGUCUGGGGUCUCUCUCCCCUGCCCCAGGCGCGGGGGCUCUGUCGCUGCUCCUCCCUUUGGGGCUCGUGGGGGGUCGUGAGCGCCACGGUGGGGGGGGGGGGGGGGCUGGGGGGCCCCUCCCCCCGCCCUGGCCGUGCCCACCCCCGCGCUCGCGCUGGUGCUGGCCUGGGUGGGGGCGCUCGGAAUGGGGGGCUGGAGACCCCCGAGGGUGAGGGGGGCUGGGGGGUUGGGGGCAUUUGGGGGAGUUUGGGGGGGUUCUGGGGCAAUGUGGGGGUCUGGGGGGGAUUUGGGGGGGUCUGGG
ensembl:lncRNA